AUGCUCGCUUCGGCAGCACAUAUACUAAAAUUAGGACAAUACAGAGAUUAGCAUGGCCCCUGAGCAAGGAUGAUAUGCAAAUUCAUGAAGUGUUCCAUAUUAAA